GGAACACAUAGAAAAGGUGAUUUCAGAGCGGUGGUGCUAAAGAAAAUGAGAAGAACCAAGUUUUGGGGAGGAGCCGAUAGGAAAUAGAAGUAGGCCGCUGCAUGCUGGUAGACAGUGUCUGCCUUUCCCGUGUCUCCAUGGCUGCACCUUGGAAGUGCUCUUCUGAUCAGAGAACUGUUCUCAUACGUGCUGAUAGCGUCUCACUUCAAGCACCAGCAUCUCUCUGCUGGAAGGUUUCUUCCUGCACCCCUGGGAAUUCUGGAGGGAACUCAAACAAAGGCACGAACUCUUAA
rnacentral:lncRNA from 1 species